rnacentral:rRNA from 1 species
GAUAGCUGGUUCUCCCCGAAAGCUAUUUAGGUAGCGCCUCGUGAAUUCAUCUCCGGGGGUAGAGCACUGUUUCGGCUAGGGGGCCAUCCCGGCUUACCAACCCGAUGCAAACUGCGAAUACCGGAGAAUGUUAUCACGGGAGACACACGGCGGGUGCUAACGUCCGUCGUGAAGAGGGAAACAACCCAGACCGCCAGCUAAGGUCCCAAAGUCAUGGUUAAGUGGGAAACGAUGUGGGAAGGCCCAGACAGCCAGGAUGUUGGCUUAGAAGCAGCCAUCAUUUAAAGAAAGCGUAAUAGCUCACUGGUCGAGUCGGCCUGCGCGGAAGAUGUAACGGGGCUAAACCAUGCACCGAAGCUGCGGCAGCGACACUGUGUGUUGUUGGGUAGGGGAGCGUUCUGUAAGCCUGUGAAGGUGUGUCGUGAGGCAUGCUGGAGGUAUCAGAAGUGCGAAUGCUGACAUAAGUAACGAUAAAGCGGGUGAAAAGCCCGCUCGCCGGAAGACCAAGGGUUCCUGUCCAACGUUAAUCGGGGCAGGGUGAGUCGACCCCUAAGGCGAGGCCGAAAGGCGUAGUCGAUGGGAAACGGGUUAAUAUUCCCGUACUUGGUGUUACUGCGAAGGGGGGACGGAGAAGGCUAUGUUGGCCGGG